rnacentral:rRNA from 1 species
GACGAACGCUGGCGGCGUGCUUAACACAUGCAAGUCGAGCGGAGAGGCGAACGGGUGAGUAAAGCGUGAGUAACUGCCCCCCUCUCUGGGAUAACAGUUGGAAACGGCUGCUAAUACCGGAUAGUGGGGGAUGACUCGCGUCCUAUCAGUUUGUUGGUGGGGUAGUGGCCUACCAAGGGGACGCAGGGUAGCCGGCCUGAGAGGGCGACCGGCCACAUUGGGCCGAGAUACGGCCCAAAAUCCUACGGGAGGCAGCAGUGGGGAAUAUUGCACAAUGGGGGAAACCAGGAUGAAGCAACGCCGCGGGCGGGAUGACGGCCUUCGGGUUGUAAACCGCUUGCAGCCAUGACGCGGUAGUGGCAGAAGAAGCACCGGCUAACUACGUGCCAGCCGCCGCGGUAAUAC